UCCCUCCUUCUCUCCUUCCCUCUCCUACUCUUUACAUCUGUGCAACUGAUUACUUCAUCCUCUUUCACAGACAAGGAAGCUGAGGUGAAGGACACUGUUCUACUCACACAGCCAGGGAGUGGCAGAGAAAGGAUUUGAAUCCAAGUCUUCCCUUUGGAAUCAAAGUCUAUGUUUAGAGGUUACUAAACUAGAGAUGUAAUCUUAACAGCUCCAUAAAGGGACCUGAGGUGGAUCCAAAGGCAGAGCAGUAUCUUCAGUGUAGAUGUGCUGCACCCAUCCCCCUCACUUCAAAAGCCACAAGAACAAACUGCAGAGCUGGAGAAAUAAAUAAAAAAUUAGUUUCGUGUUUUCAGAGUCCAGAGGGGGUGGCGGGCAUUGAAUUAUUCAGGCUGUUUGGGUGUGAACUGUUAGUUUUCUACCGCUCUUGCCUUGAUGGCUCCUCUGACACAUUGAUGGAUGAGCCAGUAAAACACUUGGAGGCCAGGAAGAAAAUUCUUAAUCAUAACUCGCUGGGGAGAGUGAGGGUUUUUCUGCACUGGCAGCUUCAGAGGCUCAGCCUGGCUCCAGCCCUCCCUCACCUUCCCUGCCUCAGUGGGGCUGGAGAUACCAACUGCAGAGUUGUCCUCAGCCCCAAAAGGGG
rnacentral:lncRNA from 1 species